rnacentral:misc_RNA from 1 species
CGGCCCUGGUAGGGAUCAAGCUCGGUAGUUUCGGUGUCGAGUCCGAUGACCUGGUGGGCCGAUAAGGAUUCAACUGCCUGGCGGAGCGCUUGCUCGGUUUUGAUAACCUGAUAACUCGUAUUCAUUGAUUAAAUCCGACAGACUUCAGGAGCUUCCCA